GUAGUCCACGCCGUAAACGAUGAGUACUAGUGAUCGUGGGAUUGACCCCUGCGGCCACAAAGCUAACGCAUUAAGUACUCCGCCUGGGAAGUACGGUCGCAAGACUAAAACUCAAAGGAAUUGACGGGGGCCCGCACAAGCGGUGGAUUAUGUGGUUUAAUUCGAAGCAACGCGCAGAACCUUACCUAGGCUUGACAUCCUGGAAAUCCCUCACAAAAGAGGGAGUGCCCUUCGGGGAAUCCAGAGACAGGUGCUGCAUGGCUGUCGUCAGCUCGUGUUGUGAAAUGUUGGGUUAAGUCUCGCAACGAGCGCAACCCCUGUUCUUAGUUGCCAGCAUUAAGUUGGGCACUCUAAGGAGACUGCCUGGGUAACCAGGA
rnacentral:rRNA from 1 species